rnacentral:rRNA from 1 species
AACGAACGCUGGCGGCAUGCCUAACACAUGCAAGUCGAACGAAGCCUUCGGGCUUAGUGGCGCACGGGUGCGUAACGCGUGGGAAUCUGCCCUUAGGUUCGGAAUAACUCAGGGAAACUUGAGCUAAUACCGGAUAAUGACUUCGGUCCAAAGAUUUAUCGCCUAAGGAUGAGCCCGCGUCGGAUUAGCUAGUUGGUGAGGUAAAAGCUCACCAAGGCGACGAUCCGUAGCCGGUCUGAGAGGAUGAUCAGCCACACUGGGACUGAGACACGGCCCAGACUCCUACGGGAGGCAGCAGUGGGGAAUAUUGGACAAUGGGCGAAAGCCUGAUCCAGCAAUGCCGCGUGAGUGAUGAAGGCCUUAGGGUUGUAAAGCUCUUUUACCCGGGAUGAUAAUGACAGUACCGGGAGAAUAAGCCCCGGCUAACUCCGUGCCAGCCGCCGCAGUAAAAC